CAGUAGCCGCGGUAAUACGUAGGGUGCGAGCGUUAAUCGGAAUUACUGGGCGUAAAGCGUGCGCAGGCGGCUUUGCAAGACAGAUGUGAAAUCCCCGGGCUCAACCUGGGAACUGCCUUUGUGACUGCAAGGCUGGAGUGCGGCAGAGGGGGAUGGAAUUCCGCGUGCAGCAGUGAGAUGCGUAGAUAUGCGGAGGAACACCGAUGGCGAAGGCAAUCCCCUGGGCCUGCACUGACGCUCAUGCACGAAGGCGUGGGGAGCGAACAGGAUUAGAUACCCCCGUAGUCCCUGUCUCUUAUAC
rnacentral:rRNA from 1 species